rnacentral:rRNA from 1 species
AUUGAACGCUGGCGGAAUGCUUUACACAUGCAAGUCGAACGGCAGCACGGGGGCAACCCUGGUGGCGAGUGGCGAACGGGUGAGUAAUACAUCGGAACGUGCCCAGUCGUGGGGGAUAACUACGCGAAAGCGUAGCUAAUACCGCAUACGAUCUACGGAUGAAAGCGGGGGAUCGCAAGACCUCGCGCGAUUGGAGCGGCCGAUGGCAGAUUAGGUAGUUGGUGGGGUAAAGGCNCACCAAGCCAACGAUCUGUAGCUGGUCUGAGAGGACGACCAGCCACACUGGGACUGAGACACGGGCCCAGACUCCUACGGGAGGCAGCAGUGGGGAAUAUUGCGCAAUGGGCGAAAGCCUGACGCAGCGACGCCGCGUGAGGGAUGAAGG